UAUAUAUAUAUAUAUAUAUAUAUAUAUAUAUAUAUUCAACCACCAAGAUCUAAGUCAGCAGACCGACGAAAACCUUUGCAAUGAACGCUUCAAGAACAGUUUUGUAAAUAGACUAUAUUUUAGAUAUAAGCUGACAGUCUAGUGGAUUCAAAUCGACUUUUACCUUCAAAGAUGUAUAUAUGUAUAUUUGUAUAUAAUAUUUGUAACUUUUGAUAUAUGUAUUUUUAUCAAAUGAAUAAAGACUUAUAACUGAGUCAAUCUUUGCUAAAAAACUGCGUGAGGUUAAUACAUCGCGUUCCCGUGGCCCUGAUGAUAUUUUGAAUUGGGUUUUAAAAACUUUUUCUGAUAUUCUUGCUUUACCAAUUGCGGACAUUAUCAAUACUUCUUUUCAAUGUUGUGAAGUUCCUCAAAUUUGGAAGCUGGCUGAUGUUGUUCC